GAUCAUGGCUCAGGAUGAACGCUAGCUACAGGCUUAACACAUGCAAGUCGAGGGGAAACGACAUCGAAAGCUUGCUUUGGUGGGCGUCGACCGGCGCACGGGUGAGUAACGCGUAUCCAACCUGCCCACCACUUGGGGAUAACCUUGCGAAAGUAAGACUAAUACCCAAUGAUAUCCCAUGAAGGCAUCCGAAUGGGAUUAAAGAUUUAUCGGCAACGGAUGGGGGAUGCGUCUGAUUAGGUUGUUGGCGGGGUAACGGCCCACCAAGCCUACGAUCAGUAGGGGUUCUGAGAGGAAGGUCCCCCACAUUGGAACUGAGACACGGUCCAAACUCCUACGGGAGGCAGCAGUGAGGAAUAUUGGUCAAUGGACGGAAGUCUGAACCAGCCAAGUAGCGUGCAGGACGACGGCCCUAUGGGUUGUAAACUGCUUUUAUGUGGGAAUAAAGUGAGGGACGUGUCCCUUUUUGUAGGUACCACAUGAAUAAGGACCGGCUAAUUCCGUG
rnacentral:rRNA from 1 species